GAUGAACGCUGGCGGCGUGCCUAAUACAUGCAAGUCGAGCGAAUGGAUUAAGAGCUUGCUCUUAUGAAGUUAGCGGCGGACGGGUGAGUAACACGCGGGUAACCUGCCCAUAAGACUGGGAUAACUCCGGGAAACCGGGGCUAAUACCGGAUAACAUUUUGAACCGCAUGGUUCGAAAUUGAAGGGCGGCUUCGGCUGUCACUUAUGGAUGGACCCGCGUCGCAUUAGCUAGUUGGUGAGGUAACGGCUCACCAAGGCAACGAUGCGUAGCCGACCUGAGAGGGGGGUCGGCCACACUGGGACUGAGACACGGCCCAGACUCCUACGGGAGGCAGCAGUAGGGGAUCUUCCGCAAUGGACGAAAGUCUGACGGAGCAACGCCGCGUGAGUGAUGAAGGCUUUCGGGUCGUAAAACUCUGUUGUUAGGGAAGAACAAGUGCUAGUUGAAUAAGCUGGCACCUUGACGGUACCUAAUCAGAAAGCCACGGCUAACUACGUGCCAGCCGCCGCCGUAA
rnacentral:rRNA from 1 species